rnacentral:rRNA from 1 species
AUUGAACGCUGGCGGCAUGCCUUACACAUGCAAGUCGAACGGCAGCACGGACUUCGGUCUGGUGGCGAGUGGCGAACGGGUGAGUAAUGUAUCGGAACGUACCUUUCAGUGGGGGAUAACGUAGCGAAAGUUACGCUAAUACCGCAUAUUCUGUGAGCAGGAAAGCAGGGGAUCGCAAGACCUUGCGCUGAUUGAGCGGCCGAUAUCAGAUUAGCUAGUUGGUGAGGUAAAGGCUCACCAAGGCGACGAUCUGUAGCGGGUCUGAGAGGAUGAUCCGCCACACUGGAACUGAGACACGGUCCAGACUCCUACGGGAGGCAGCAGUGGGGAAUUUUGGACAAUGGGGGCAACCCUGAUCCAGCCAUGCCGCGUGAGUGAAGAAGGCCUUCGGGUUGUAAAGCUCUUUCGGCCGGGAAGAAAUCGCAUAGGUUAAUACCCUGUGUGGAUGACGGUACCGGAAUAAGAAGCACCGGCUAACUACGUGCCAGCAGCCGCAGUAAAAC